rnacentral:rRNA from 1 species
AGUGAACGCUGGCGGUAGGCCUAACACAUGCAAGUCGAACGGCAGCACAGUAAGAGCUUGCUCUUACGGGUGGCGAGUGGCGGACGGGUGAGGAAUACAUCGGAAUCUACUUUUUCGUGGGGGAUAACGUAGGGAAACUUACGCUAAUACCGCAUACGACCUACGGGUGAAAGCAGGGGAUCUUCGGACCUUGCGCGAUUGAAUGAGCCGAUGUCGGAUUAGCUAGUUGGCGGGGUAAAGGCCCACCAAGGCGACGAUCCGUAGCUGGUCUGAGAGGAUGAUCGGCCACACUGGAACUGAGACACGGUCCCGACUCCUACGGGAGGCAGCAGUGGGGAAUAUUGGACAAUGGGCGCAAGCCUGAUCCAGCCAUACCGCGUGGGUGAAGAAGGCCUUCGGGUUGUAAAGCCCUUUUGUUGGGAAAGAAAAGCAGCAGGUUAAUACCCCGCUGUUCUGACGGUACCCACAGAAUAAGCACCGGCUAACUUCGUG